CCUGUGGAAUGCCACCCCAACGCCAGUAGCCAGCCACUCCCCGUGGCCGCCAAAACGGGCAUGACGAAACAGGAA
rnacentral:sRNA from 12 species